rnacentral:tRNA from 1 species
GCGGGCGUAGUUUAGUGGUCAAAUCCCUCUCUUCCAAGGAGGAGUCACGGGUUCGAUUCCUGCGACCGAG